CUCGACCUCGAGUUCCGCGCCUCCUACCCCGACCAUACGAACCCGGCGAAGCUGGUGGCGAGGGUGAAGCGGGUGCAGGAGGCGGUGGCCGCGCUCAAGGAGCUCUGCCGCGACCUCCUCACCCAGAAGCAGGUCCCUGCGAUUGGCCCGCUGAUGCUGGCCUUGCUCUCUGCGCAGGAACUAAUCGAUCGGAUACACGUGAGCCUGAUGGCGCAGCGCAGCACGACGCAGCGGCUGCUCGCCGCAUCCGGGCUGCCCCCCUUGUCCGACGUC